UCUGGUUGAUCCUGCCAGUAGUCAUAUGCUUGUCUCAAAGAUUAAGCCAUGCAUGUCUAAGUAUAAAUAGUAUACAGUGAAACUGCGAAUGGCUCAUUAAAACAGUUAUAGUUUAUUUGAUAAUUGACAAUUACAUGGAUAACCGUGGUAAUUCUAGAGCUAAUACAUGCUUAAACGCCCGACUUUAUGGAAGGGUGGUAUUUAUUAGACUGAAGCCAAUAUUCCUUGUGUCUAUUGCGGUGAUUCAUAAUAACUGAUCGAAUCUCUUUUUGAGAUAAAUCAUUCAAGUUUCUGCCCUAUCAGCUUUCGAUGGUAGUGUAUUGGACUACCAUGGCAGUAACGGGUAACGAAGAAUUAGGGUUCGAUUUCGGAGAGGGAGCAUGAGAAACGGCUACCACAUCUAAGGAAGGCAGCAGGCGCGUAAAUUACCCAAUCCUGACUCAGGGAGGUAGUGACAAGAAAUAGCAAACCGGGAACCUCAUGGUUUCACGGUAUUGCAAUGAGAACAAUUUAAAACCCCAAGCGAGAAUCAAGUGGAGGACAAGUCUGGUGCCAGCACCCGCGGUAAUUCCAGCUCCACUAGCGUAUAUUAAAGUUGUUGCAGUUAAAAAGCUCGUAGUUGAACCUCUGUCUGGGGCUAGUUUUGGCUUUGGUCAGGCUAGUUCUAGGCAUCCGCCUACAAGACUUAGAGGGCAUUCAGUUGUUCACUAGGAGGAGUAGGCAUUUUACUUUGAAAAAAUUAGAGUGUUUAAGGCAGGCAAUCGCCCGCAUAUAUUAGCAUGGAAUAAUAGAAUAGGACACUUUUCCAUUUCGUUGGUUAUUGGAAUCGUGUAAUGAUUAGUAGGGACAGUUGUGGGCAUUUGUAUUUAAUUGUCAGAGGUGAAAUUCUUGGAUUUAUUAAAGACAAACUAACGCGAAAGCAUUUGCCAAGGAUGUUUUCAUUAAUCAAGAACGAAAGUUAGGGGAUCAAAGACGAUCAGAUACCGUCCUAGUCUUAACUAUAAACUAUUCCGACUCAAUGUUUGACUGGCUUAUAUAACCAGUUGAGCGUUGUAUGAGAAAUCAAAGUCUUUAGGUUCUGGGGGGAGUAUGGUUGCAAAGCUGAAACUUAAAGGAAUUGACGGAAGAGCACAACCAGGAGUGGAUUCUGCGGCUUAAUUUGACUCAACACGGGGAAACUUACCAGGUUAAAACAAUAGUGGGAUUGACAGUUUGAGAGCGCUUUCUUGAUUGGUUGGGUGGUGGUGCAUGGCCGUUCUUAGUUGGUGGAGUGAUUUGUCUGCUUAAUUGCGUUAACGAACGAGACCUUAACCUGCUUACUAGACUGGCGAUCAUCAAUCGUUAGCUCUUCUUAGAGGGAC
rnacentral:rRNA from 1 species